rnacentral:rRNA from 1 species
UACAGAGGUCUCAAGCGUUGUUCGGAUUCAUUGGGCGUAAAGGGUGCGUAGGCGGCGCGGUAAGUCGGGUGUGAAAUUCGACGGCUUAACUCCGAAACUGCAUUCGAUACUGCGUGCUUGAGGACUGGAGAGGAGACUGGAAUUUACGGUGUAGCAGUGAAAUGCGUAGAUAUCGUAAGGAAGACCAGUGGCGAAGGCGGGGUCUCCUGGG